rnacentral:rRNA from 1 species
CCUACGGGAGGCAGCAGUAAGGAAUAUUGGUCAAUGGACGAAAGUCUGAACCAGCCAUGCCGCGUGAAGGAUUAAGGCCCUCUGGGUUGUAAACUUCUUUUAUCUGGGACGAAAAAAGGGUAUUCUUACUCACUUGACGGUACCAGAGGAAUAAGCACCGGCUAACUCCAUGCCAGCAGCCGCGGUAAUACGGAGGGUGCAAGCGUUAUCCGGAUUUACUGGGUUUAAAGGGUGCGUAGGUGGGCUUGUAAGUCAGUGGUGAAAUCUCCGGGCUUAACCCGGAAACUGCCAUUGAUACUAUAGGUCUUGAAUUAUCUGGAGGUAAGCGGAAUAUGUCAUGUAGCGGUGAAAUGCUUAGAUAUGACAUAGAACACCAAUUGCGAAGGCAGCUUACUACGGAUAUAUUGACACUGAGGCACGAAAGCGUGGGGAUCAAACAGGAUUAGAUACCCUGGUAGUCCACGCCCUAAACGAUGGAUACUCGACAUCAGCGAUACACUGUUGGUGUCUGAGCGAAGCAUUAAGUAUCCCACCUGGGAAGUACGAUCGCAGAUUGAACUCAAAUGAAUUGACCGG